rnacentral:lncRNA from 1 species
UAAACUGAAAAAACUUCAUCAAUGGCUUCCCAAAGUGGCAAUCAUAUAUCUCACAGUGGUGACGAAGCUUCACCGACUCCACAAGACCAACAAAUCGAUGUUCAAAAUCGACCUCCACGUGGAAUGACUUCCAUGAAGAAUGUCAUUCGGUCAAGAAGCAAGGAUGUGAAAAUAGAAGUUCACUGAAACUCUAAAGGCC